rnacentral:rRNA from 1 species
GCAGCGAAACGCGAUAGUUAAUGUGAAUUGCAGAAUUCAGUGAAUCAUCGAGUCUUUGAACGCACAUUGCGCCCAUUGGUAUUCCUUUGGGCAUGUCUGUUUGAGCGUCAUUACAACACCUCAGCGCACGCUGGUUUUGAGCUGUGAGGGCUUCAGAAAUGAACCCUCCCGCUUUAAAGUUGUAAGCUCUACUGGCUUCCAGCUGGACCUAAAACAUAGUAAACUUCUUGCUUGUUUAUGGGGAAAAUUGUGAAGUUCGGCCUGAACAACACCUUUAUACUUCUAAGGUUUGACCUCAGAUCAGACAAGGAUACCCGCUGAACUUAAGCAUAUCAAUAAGCGGAGGAAAAGAAACCAACAGGGAUUGCCUCAGUAACGGCGAGUGAAGCGGCAAUAGCUCAAAUUUGAAAUCUGGAGCCUUCGGCUUCCGAGUUGUAAUUUGAAGAGGAUAUUUCGGUUGCGAUCUGGGCCUAAGUUCCUUGGAACAGGACGUCAUGGAGGGUGAGAAUCCCGUACAUGGCUGCAGGUUUGCUUCUAUGUGAAAUUCCUUCGAAGAGUCGAG